rnacentral:lncRNA from 1 species
AUUUUUGGAGCUAUAUUAUAUACUAUUUGGGCUCUAAAAUCCAUCAAUAAGUGGCAGCAACAUCUCGAUAUUAGGAGUCAUUAGUUAUUCUGGUGGACUUCUUCUUGGGUGGGCCUCAGCUUACGAAAUUAUUGGCAAUCAUAGGAUUUUGGGGCAGCCACCAAAUCGGCCCAACACCAAGAAACACAUGCGAUUGAAAGGCGGCCAUCAUCAUGGAGGGAUUGAAUGAUUAUAAAAGAACAUCAGACGUCAAUUUUUGGGGAGAUCAGACGCAACAUCAGAGACGCACGAACAGAUCAUCUUGGACGGUUUUGAGAGCAGUUUUUACAAGAAUUAAGAGCAGGGAAUCGUUGGAGUGCUAAUGUUUGAAUUGAUCAUGCUACACUUAGGCGGACUUGGGCCUUAGUGACUUAAAAGACAGUUUAAUUAUGUUAUGUUUUCGUUAAUGCAAAGACAAUGUAAACAAUUUACUUAAUAAUAAAAAACUUGAAUUACCAUGUUU